UUUUGUAUGUCCUCAUUGUUC
rnacentral:piRNA from 1 species